rnacentral:rRNA from 1 species
UACGUAGGGGGCAAGCGUUGUCCGGAAUCAUUGGGCGUAAAGCGCGCGCAGGCGGUCCCUUAAGUCUGAUGUGAAAGCCCACGGCUUAACCGUGGAGGGUCAUUGGAAACUGGGGGACUUGAGUGCAGAAGAGGAGAGCGGAAUUCCACGUGUAGCGGUGAAAUGCGUAGAGAUGUGGAGGAACACCAGUGGCGAAGGCGGCUCUCUGGUCUGUAACUGACGCUGAGGCGCGAAAGCGUGGGGAGCAAACAGG